rnacentral:rRNA from 1 species
UACGAAGGGGGGCUAGCGUUGCUCGGAAUCACUGGGCGUAAAGCGCACGUAGGCGGCUUUCUAAGUCAGGGGUGAAAUCCUGGAGCUCAACUCCAGAACUGCCAUUGAUACUGUCGGGCUUGAGUACAGAUGCUGUGGGCGGAAUAUGACAUGUAGUGGUGAAAUACAUAGAGAUGUCAUAGAACACCGAUUGCGAAGGCAGCUCACAAAACUGUAACUGACGCUGAGGCACGAAAGUGCGGGGAUCAAACAGG